CUUCAGAGUGCUGAAUGGCUACACUCAACAUCUAGAACAGGCCUGUAUCAUGCCAACUCUAGGCCUGCUCACCCUCCUCAGGCCACAAGUGCCAGCAUGGAAAUUGCGACACACAGAAGAGUGAGCAGGAGGCCAGUUGCAUCAGAGGACUCAAGAGAGACUCCAGGUGGAUUUGAAGAUUGGAUUGGCAGGACAAGCAGCUGAGCACUGAAACCUAAUUUACUGUCUUGAUAAAACAUAUGGGACAGCAAGACAGAGGACUCAAAAAUACUUCCAGUUGAAACAGGUGACAGAGCAACACAUGUGUAGCACAUCCUAAAAAUAAGGCAGAAGACAAGCAGUUUACAAGCACUUCUGACAGCACUAGCCUAAUACGCCUGUGGUCAUCCCUAAGCUUCCCUCAAACUGUACCAAAGUAGGUCAUCCACUUUUUCUCUUGAGCAAGUGCAGCAGCUUCAGACCAACUAUAUUUUUCUGCCCUUCUCACUCCUCUCAGGUUGUGCUUUACAUUUGCUCUUACAUACCACUGUCUGCCAUUUUCCUUAGCCUGCUAUCUAUCCUUGGUGCCUUUACACCAUACAUCAGUACAUCAGCCCUUUCACUUCCACUCGUGUGGUGCCAUCUCACUGUAUCUGUGUGGAAACCUACCGUGCCAUGGCUGCCUAAACCCUUACAUGUAUGCAACCCUGCUGAGGGCAGGAGGAGAUCAGGGGGCCUGAAGGGAACCAUCAAGGACUGCUCUAAAAGACGAUUAAGCAACACACAUUUCCAGCAUAGCGGCUCUGUGCGUGCAUUCACCAGGUCCAGGGAGAUAACACAUCUGAGGAAGAUGGAGUCUCCUUUGGCCGGGGAGGCCGUCUGGAGGACGAAUUACAGGGCAAGGACAGGACUCUCCCUCAGCACUGGGCCUCUGCCAAGGCAAUGAGAUGAAAGGACUUGACCUCUGAAACUUGCCCAAGGAUUAAAUGAGCUUCUUCACAUUGCGUA